rnacentral:rRNA from 1 species
AUUGAACGCUGGCGGCAUGCUUUACACAUGCAAGUCGAACGGCAGCGCGGGGCAACCUGGCGGCGAGUGGCGAACGGGUGAGUAAUACAUCGGAACGUACCCAGAAGUGGGGGAUAACGUAGCGAAAGUUACGCUAAUACCGCAUACGUUCUACGGAAGAAAGUGGGGGACCUUCGGGCCUCAUGCUUUUGGAGCGGCCGAUGUCUGAUUAGCUAGUUGGUGAGGUAAAGGCUCACCAAGGCGACGAUCAGUAGCUGGUCUGAGAGGACGACCAGCCACACUGGGACUGAGACACGGCCCAGACUCCUACGGGAGGCAGCAGUGGGGAAUUUUGGACAAUGGGCGCAAGCCUGAUCCAGCAGUGCCGCGUGAGUGAAGAAGGCCUUCGGGUUGUAAAGCUCUUUUGUCAGGGAAGAAACGGCUGAGGAUAAUACCUUCGGCUAAUGACGGUACCUGAAGAAUAAGCACCGGCUAACUACGUGCCAGCCGCCGCCGUAAGAC